UGAAGAUGCAGUGUACCCGCGGCUAGACGGAAAGACCCCGUGAACCUUUACUACAGCUUGGCACUGAACAUUGACCCUACAUGUGUAGGAUAGGUGGGAGGCUUUGAAGCACGUACGCCAGUAUGUGUGGAGCCGUCCUUGAAAUACCACCCUUGUAGUGUUGAUGUUCUAACGUCGACCCCUAAUCGGGGUUGCGGACAGUGCCUGGUGGGUAGUUUGACUGGGGCGGUCUCCUCCCAAAGAGUAACGGAGGAGCACGAAGGUGGGCUAAUCACGGUUGGACAUCGUGAGGUUA
rnacentral:rRNA from 1 species